rnacentral:rRNA from 1 species
AUGCAAGGGCGCCGGUGCUCGCCCAUCACCCCACUCCCAGCACCAAAUCACUUGGACGGUCUUCCAGCAAGGAAGCAAUGGCUGGAGAAGAGGCAGAGGUUUCUACGGACGGAGCUUGAACAACUCCUCCGCGGCUACCGCGAUCAGCACCCAUGCGAACCAACAUUCGAGCUGGAAAUCAUCUGCGGCGUGGCCAAAGAGAGCGCCUAUCUGUCCUCCCAUUGCUACCACAUCAAUUUCCUCGCCGCAGCAUCCGAUGGCACGCGGAUGCUCUUCUUCGCCCAGGUUUGGGAGGAGAAGAGACCCGACAACACCGAGUCGUGCUGCCGUUUAGGGGUUCGUUACAGCGACAGAGAAUCGGAGGUCUCUUUUUGCUGUCCCUUGCCCUACUACAGCCCAAAUGAUGCAUAUCUUGGGCGAUGCACCAUUUGCGAGUUCGGAGUAAGUAAGAUUGUGCAUCCACCUAUUGGUCUGCAACUCUGCAUAUCAGAGCAGCGCAUACUGAUUUUGGAAAGGCCCUUGCCUCAAAUUCGAAGAAAGUGUCCUCUCGUGCGGACGGCAUCGUAG